rnacentral:lncRNA from 1 species
UUUAUGGUACUAGAUGAUGUCUGGAACGAGGACAAGAAGAAAUGGAUUGAGCUGAAAGAUUUGUUGUGUGGGGGAGCCCAAGGGAGUAGAAUCAUUGUCACAACUCGUAUCCGCAAUGUGGCUACAAUCACAGGCACAACACCUCUGUAUGAUUUAGAGCAUCUUUCUUAUGACAAUUGUCUAUCAUUGUUUCUUAAACUUGCCUUUAAAGAAGGUGAAGAGAAACAACAUGACAAUCUUGUAAGAAUCGGGGAAGGAAUUGUUCAAAAAUGCAAAGGGGUUGCUUUGGCCGUGAAGACUUUAGGCAGCUUACUCUGUUCAACUAGGGUACAACAUGAUUGGGAACUUGUGAGAGAUAGUGAGCUAUGGAAGUUGAAACAGGAGGAAAAUGACAUCUUGCCUGCUCUAAAACUAAGUUAUGAUCAUUUGCCCUGGUAUUUAAAGCAAUGUUUCGCCUUUUGUUCAGUUUUUCCAAAAGAUUUUGAAUUCAAUCCUCUCUAUUUGAUCCCGUUGUGGAUGGCAAAUGGCUUUUUGCAAUCACCAUACGAAAAUGAAGAGCCAGAAGAUAUUGGGAAUCGGUAUAUACAAGAGUUACUAUCAAGAUCUUUCUUCCAACAAGUUGAAGAUAAGUUUUUAACUUUCACCUUCAAAAUGCAUGAUCUAGUACAUGAUCUUGCAUUAUCAGUGGCGCAAAAUGAGGUGAAUUCAUGUAACCAUUAUUCAACUGGGAAUGUUCGACAUUUAUUGUUUGAUCUUUUGAAGCAAGAUGGUUCCCAGUUGCCAAAUAACUUGAGCUGUCUGCAAUCACUUUUCUCAUUAGAUGAAGAAGGCAAGACUGAUAGCGAAUCUCUCAUUGGCAAAGUCAUCUCUAGGUCUAAACAUUUGAGGGUGUUACAUUUGUUUGAGUGUAGUUUAGAGAAAAGCAGUUGAGAUAUUUGAACCUAGCCUUCAAUGAAAAUAUAAAAGGACUUUCAAAUUCCAUUUGCAAUUUGCAGAGUUUGCUCACACUUGACCUUACUGGAUGCAGGGGAAUUGAAGAGUUCCCAAAAGAUAUAAGGUACCUGAUUAGCCUUAGAGAAUUACGUGUAACGACAAAACAGACGCGUUUGCAAGAGAAUGGAAUAUCGUGCCUCACUUGUCUUCGAAGGUUGAUCUUUUCUGAAUGUGAAAAUUUAGAAAAAUUGUUUGAAGACAUUCAAAACCUAACAGCUCUCCGAGAAUUGUACAUAUUUGAAUGCCACAACUUGGUUUCAUUGCCACAAGGUUUAAAAUACCUACCUACAUUAGAAACUUUGGCAAUUUUAGAUUGUGAAAAGCUUGAUCUCACUAUGGAGGAGUUGGAACUUGAGAGGGAAGAAGAUGGUAGCCUUCGAAAAUUGUUUAUCGGAGGAGUGCCAAAGUUUGAGUCACUACCCCAAUGGAUUCUUCUAGGAUCCACCAAAACAUUGCAGUACUUGUGCAUCAGCAACUUGGAGAAUGUCUUGACAUUACCAACGUGGAUUCAACAUCUCACAUCCCUUCAAAGUCUUCAAAUUGAGGAUUGCCCAGAGCUGUCGUUUUUGCCCGAAGGGAUGCAACACCUCACUGCACUCAAAAGAUUAAAGAUUGAAUGGUGUCCAAAAUUAAGCAAAAGAUGCAUUAAAGAAACUGGUGAAGACUGGCCUAAGAUUGCUCAUGUCCCUGACUUUUAUUGUGGUGACUAGGAGACAACAACAAAUGACGCAUAGAUAACGUAAGUCACCAAACACUGCUCUAUUUGGUAUAUGUCUUAUUAGCUUUUAAAUUUUAGUAUUACUCUAUUUCUCACUAACAUAAUUGAAUUUUAUCUACUCUGAAGCAAAUAAAACUUCACUUGAAAUACAACUAGUGAAAUAAUAAUACUUCAAAAGCGAAUUUAAUAGGAUGCUAAAUGUCUUCAUUUCUUCAUUUUAUAAGAGAAAGAUGAAAAAAAAAAUGUAAAAUGCCUCAAUUUAAUGUUAUGCAGAGAUUUUCUAACACAACUUAUUUAUUGAUUAGAGUGGCAGGUCAAAUUUGAAGAGGUUGAAAUUAUCUGUGGUGCUUUCCCAUAUAUAUACAUACAUAUAUAUAUAUAUGGUUUCAAUGUAUGUAUGUUUAUAAUUUGAUUUGUAUCAAAGACAAUAAUGUAAUAAUUUGAUUCCUUUGGUUUCUAAAUGUAAUCAUCACUUGUUUGCUUCUUAUUUUCUUUAUUAUAAUUAAAUAAAUAAAAUAAUUUUUUUUUCUACUAAAAGGCGGCUAUAUGUUUGAGGAACAACACUAAAUUUUUUUAUUUUAUUUUUGGUAUUUAUAUCUUUUAACUUUUGCAAAAUAAAAAAAAAAUAGGAUUAUAAAUGUUAGAAACUCUAUUGCAUGUGAAAAUUAUGCAUGUAGAGCCCAAAUUUUUGAGUGGAAAAUUUAAGAUUUUCUCAAUCCAAUUGACAUGGGUUUAAAUUUUAUUUUAUGCAUAUUUUAUUAUUAUUUUUCUUCAAAUAAUAUAAAUUAUUUUAAAUACAAAGAGACAUUAAAGUAAUUUCCUUAAUUGAGUUGGGAUCCACACCAACUCAAUAAAGAGCUUUAUAAAUCAAAACAAAUUAAAGUCUUGGUUAAAUGGUAACUUUAAGGCUUUUUUUCUUUCAAUAUAAUUUGACAUGAGUUUAAAUCAAUGCAGUCGGUUCCCAUCAAUUCUGUUGCACGGUCGGUGCACACUAUUCCAAUAAUAAACUGAAAUGAUCACUUUUUUUCGCACUGGUGUAAAUUUCAAUCUAUAUCAGUUAUACUAGCUCAUUCCGACCAAUUUCAGUUGUACCAGCUGAAACAUUACACACCAACCGAUAUAAGAAUAAUGUUAAAAAAUAGAUAAAAUUAUUAUUUUUUACCAACAUUAAUUUUUUUAAUAACUAAAUUUAAAUUUUAAACUUUAGUAAAUGAACAACUUUCAAAAUUAUAGUAGAAAAUUAAUAAUAAAAAAGUAAAAAAUUUUAUACUAAAAGGCAAAAAAAAAGAAGAUAAAUGCUAAAAGUUUCACCAACACAACAUUAUGUGCAUGUUUUUAUUAAACUUUUAUUUUAUGUAUUUAGCAUGAGAUUUUUAAAAUAAUGUUGUGGAUAAUUUUGUUGUUUAAUGUGUGAAAUAAUUUUCUUUUUGUUUACUUUAAAUUUGUUAAAUAAUAAAAUUUUAUUUGUGAAGUUUAUUGAUGAGUGUUUUAUGUAAUCAAUUAAUAUUUUUUUAUAUUUGAAAUUAUUUUAUUUAAUUCAUUUGAUAUAUUUAAAUAUUUUAUGCAUUAAAUGCUUUUCAAAAACAUUGAUAAAUCCGAAACGAUACAUCAAAAUAGAUGAAUAUUAGCACUUACUAGAUUCAAUAGAAAGUGAUACGUCCACCGGUGUGAUACUAACUACUACCUUGGUUCAAAUUCCAUCAUAUGCAAUUUUUUUAAAAUUUUAAAAAUAUUAAAGUGUCAUUGAAUAAUAUAACUUAUUUUAAAUAAGAAAAGACAUUUUCAUAAUUUUCCUAAUCAAGUUGGUGCUCAACUCACUCAUGACAUCAAAUCAGUUAGGGAUUUUAUUAAUAAUACGUAUAGGUUUACAUUUUAAAAAGGUAAGGAAAUAUGCAUAAUAAAAUUAAAAUGUAUAAGUAAAUUAAAAUAAAUUUUUGGUUAAGUGAUAAAAUUAAAAAAAUUUCAAUGUAAUUUGGUAUGAGUUCAAAUCUCACAAUAUGCAUUUUUUUAUUUUUAAAAAAAGUAAAAAGACUAAAGUACCCUUAAAUAAUAUAUCUUAUUUUAAAUUUGAAAGGAUAUUUUUGUUAUUUCUCCUAACUAAGUUGGUGCCCAAUUGACUCGUGACACCAACUUAAUCAAAGAAUUUAUUAAUAGUAUAGACACACAAAUUUGGUGGAAGAAAACAAUUUAUAUCGAAAGUUAUUCUUUCUAAAGUUUACUUAGUAAUCAUUAUUGGUGCCGUGGUAAUUUUCUUGACAUGUUAAUUUUAAUUCUUUUAUUUAGAACUAAAUAAAAGUAUGAAAAAAUAAAAAUAAAAAGACCAUUCAUUAUGGUUAGUCGGCCAUGAGAGGACACUGACCCACUCGGAAACCAUUACUGUCUUCGUCCUGAAUUUCUCCAUUAAGAUCAUUCCAGGAAACACCCUCAAAAAAGGUGGUGGGUCAGAUUAAAUUCCAAAGGUGCAUGUAUUUCUAACUUUUCUAGGCUUUUGCAUUGGGGUUAUUACCACUUCCUUGGCAUCUAAUACCUUGGUAUUCGAAAAUUAUUACUUUAAUUCAUACCAGAAACAAUUACCAUGGCUGAAUCCUUUGCAUUCGAGAUCGCCGGAAAAGUAUUGGAGAAACUAGGGAGUGCUGCCUAUGAAAGAAUUAGCUUGGCAUGGGGUGUUCGAGAGGAGUUUGAAAAGCUUAAGUUGACCCUAGCUGCUAUCAGAGCUGUGGUCCUGGAUGCUGAACAACAACAGGCUCGUACCCAGGAGUUCAGUCUUUGGCUACAAAGGUUCAAAGAUGCUUGCUACGACGUGGACUAUUUGAUAGACGAGUUCGAGAUCGAAGCAUUGAGGAGGCAAGUCCUGGAACAGGGAAGCACUGGAAGUAAGGUACGCCAUUUCUUUUCUGGCUCAAACCCUUUGGCAUUUCGCUUUAGGAUGAGCUAUAAGAUCAAAAAGGCAAACGAGAUGUUGAAUGAGAUUGCAGCUAACAAGGCCAAGUUUCAUCUCACUGAAAAACAUGAGACUAAUGUCAUACAUCGUGAGAGGGAAACCUACUCCUUUGUUAAGACAUCUAGUGUCAUCGGUCGAGAUGAAGCUAAACAACACCUACAAAACUUCUUAAUGAAUCCAACUGAUGGGGAAGAUAUCCUUGUCCUUCCCAUAGUUGGGAUCAGAGGUAUCGGGAAAACUACCCUUGCCCAAUUGGUGUUUAAUGAGGAGAGUGUGAAGUCGCAUUUUGAAUUGAGAAUUUGGGUGUGUGUUACAGAGGAUUUUGACAUCAAACAACUGAUGAUAAAAAUCAUUAAAUCUGCCACUGGCAGAGAGUGCAAGGACAUGAAUAAGGAGGAAUUACAUAAAGUUUUACAAGAUUGUUUGAAUACUAAAAGAAUUUUUGUGGUCCUGGAUGAUGUCUGGAACGAGGACAAGAAGAAAUGGAUUGAGCUGAAAGAUUUGUUGUGUGGGGGAGCCCAAGGGAGUAGAAUCAUUGUCACAACUCGUAUCCGCAAUGUGGCUACAAUCACAGGCACAACACCUCUGUAUGAUUUAGAGCAUCUUUCUUAUGACAAUUGUCUAUCAUUGUUUCUUAAACUUGCCUUUAAAGAAGGUGAAGAGAAACAACAUGACAAUCUUGUAAGAAUCGGGGAAGGAAUUGUUCAAAAAUGCAAAGGGGUUGCUUUGGCC